CUAUUGGUCGACUCAGUUUUUUUUUUUCACCAUUUUUUUUAAUUCUUUCCCGACCAUCUCUCUUCUCUCUCGUUCAUGAGAGAUAAAAGGCGAUUCUUCUCCAUCAGAGAACGGCGGAGGAUUGGUGGGACAACGCCAUGGCCGAAACCACAAAAAAAAUCAACGGCUGAGAUGCUCAGGAUCUUCUCUCACUUCUCUCUUCUCCGGCGAGGGAUUUCCUUGUUCGUAACGACGGCAAACAGAACCGAUUAGGGUAGAGUUUGACUGGUUGGUUGGUUAUAUGAAUUCUUAUGAUGUUCAUGUUAAAAUUGAUAGCUUAAUAGGGAAAAAGAUUGGAUUGUAUUUUCAGCUGCGUGGUGCGGACCAUGUCAGCGGUUUACUCCACAGCUGGUUGAAGUCUACAACGAGCUCGCUCCAAAAGUUGGUUUCGAGGUUGUUUUUGUGUCUGGCGAUGAAGAUGAAGAGUCCUUUGGUGAUUAUUUCAGUAAGAUGCCAUGGCUCACUGUUCCAUUUGCUGAUUCAGAAACACAUGACCGUUUGGAUGGGUUGUUUAAGGUUACGGGUAUCCCUAACCUAGUAAUAGUUGAUGAUCAUGGUAAACUUGUGAAUAAUAAUGGGUUUGGUGUCAUACGAAGCUAUGGAGCUGGUGCUUAUCCUUUCACACCUGAGAAGAUGAAGGAGAUCAAAGAGAAAGAAGACAGGGCUCGGAGAGAGCAGACAUUGUCAUCUGUGAGUCUUGUCUCAGUGAAUUGUCUGCACUCAUGGUUUAUUGACGACUCAGUAGCGUUCUGUUUCUUUAGGAUACCGCUAGUUCCUCAGGAUUUAUAUGCUUAUCAUAAGUAUGCGAAUCCAUAGUGAGAAAAGCAACUUGAUGAGGCUCAGUUCUUUGGAGAUCUUUAUGAGUUUUGUUGCAAAGUCGCUGAUGAUGAUGGCAAAACUGUGAUCGUUGCAGGCCUUGACGGUGACUAUUUAAGGAGGAGCUUUGGUGCUGUACUUGAUGUUAUACCAAUUGCUGAUUCUGUAACAAAGCUAACUCCAAGGUGUGAGGUUUGUGGACAGAAAGCUUUCUUCACUUUGCUUGUUAUGUUUAUGUUUGUGUAGAACUUCAUUGAUCAAUGUUGUGUAGAACUUCAUUUGCUCCCCAAGGUCUAUAUAUUGAUCAAUGUCGUGUAGAACUUCAUUUGCUUGUUCAUCCGAUUCUUCUCAUUUCUUUUCUGUCAUCAUCCGAUUAUUCUUAUCAUCAUUUCUUCUUCUCAUCAUUUCUUCUAGUUAAAUUUUCAAACCCAUUUCCAUUACACAAAACAAAUUUUCAUUAAGAGAAACCUUCUUUACGUUCUCUAGUGGAGGGUUGAUUUUGCUAAAACUCUCUUAGGGUUGCUAAAAUUCUAUGAUUAAUUAAUAUGUGAAUAACUUAGGAGGGUUUCUUAGUGAUGCUCUAAGGACAUUUUUACCGGAAGUAACCGUGAACGUUUCUCAAAAAAUAUUUUUCUUACAGAUUUUUAUUUUAUUUUAUUUUUUUAAUAUUUGUUCCACUGAAUAAAUGACACGUGUCAUAUUACUAAUCUUUGAUUUAAUUACACAAUUAUAGAAGAAAGAGGAAGACUUACUAAGAAACAAGAAAAGCAGAGAUAUGUAGAUCUAGGGUUUUCAGGAGUUACAUAUACGGCGGCGAGUUGCUGAUUGUGCAGAUCUUCAUCGAUCUCCUGACUGUUUAAACAUCAAAAGCAAUAUCGAGCUGUUGAAAGACGGUAUCACCGUAGAGAUCUCGAUUUAGUUUUGCAGAGUCUAUGGUCAUAAGCGUGUGGAAAUCAGAACAAAAGCUUGAGAAAGAUUAGCUUGGACAAGACGAUUAGGAGAACUAGAGAAGACGAGCUUCACAGUUUGGGUUGGCCAUCGGCGAAGCCAAUAGAAAGAUCUAGGUUUAGGCGAUUAUUAGGGUUAAAGGUUUUUUUUUCCGAUUCUAAAUAUUUUUUGGUAAAAGACUCUUGAGUUUCUAAGUGUAAAGGAGGAGAAAAGUGUGUUUUAGUCGAUUUUUAGUA